ACUAUUCAUUAGGUGACCAACCCAGGGAAGCUCAACCAUGAUUAACAAUCCAGAAUUUGUGAACCCCUUGAAAACUAGAUGGAAAAAGACACUGAUAAUUUAACCAAGCCCCAACACAAGAACAUGAGACUCUCCCUGAAUUAUCACGAAGAUGGCAAGCUGUCUAGUCAAAGGUUUCCUUACAGAUUAAGACACAAGAUUUAUAUCAGAAUUGGAGGCCAGUGCUAAGGACUGAGACCGAACCAGGGCCUCACGCCGGCUAGGUCGGCGCUAGGCUACCCUGUGCUGAACGUGCAUGCCAGAGGUCAUCCACACAGACAAGCAGAGAAGACCAGAAUCCAAGGUUAGAGGUCAGAGGAAUGCGACAGACUUGUGACAGUAUGCAGAAACCAGAAUGGAUGGUGAAAAAGAAGCUAAACU